UGCUCACCUAAGAAAAUAUUUCUGGAUUGUUUCAGGCUGUGACUCUUCAAUUAACCUGACAUCUCACAAAUCCAAAAUUGCCGUGGAUGAGCUCUUCAGUACUCUUCGGGACAUUGCCGGAGCUCGGAGUCUCAUGAAACAGUUCAAGUCUGUGUGUGUCCCUGGGAAUCACGGCCACCAGGCAAGUGCAUGUGCCCUAAAGUGACUGUCUAAUUGGUUGCACUUUGA
rnacentral:lncRNA from 1 species